GACGAACCGUGCGAACGUUAUUCGGAAUCACUGGGCUUAAAGCGCGUGUAGGUGGCUUGGCACGUCUCUCGCUGAAAUCCCCUGGCUCAACCAGGGAAGUGGCGGGGAUACGACCAAGCUCGAGGGGGGUAGGGGGGACGGGAACUCACGGUGGAGCGGUGAAAUGCGUUGAGAUCGUGAGGAACGCCCGCGGCGAAAGCGCGUCCCUGGACCCCACCUGACACUGAGACGCGAAAGCCAGGGGAGCGAACGGG
rnacentral:rRNA from 1 species